rnacentral:rRNA from 1 species
UACGGGGGGUGCGAGCGUUGUCCGGAUUCACUGGGCGUAAAGGGCGCGUAGGCGGCGCCAUCAGUCCGGUCUCCAACCCCACGGCUCACCCGUGGGUCGGGCCGGGGACGGUGGUGCUGGGGCGCGGUCGAGGGAAGCGGAAUGCCGGGUGUAGUGGUGAAAUGCGUAGAGAUCCGGCGGAACACCGGUGGUGGAGGCGGCUUCCUGGGCCGUGGCCGACGCUGAGGCGCGAGAGCGCGGGGAGCGAACCGG